UGAAUUUCAACGAGACGCCAUUCGCUAGGUGAAAAAUUCCGAAAACAAGUAGAAAAGUAACCGGCGCGAGCGAGUAACCAACAUGUUGCGCCAUCAUGCGACAAAUGCGAUAUGAGAUUCCCCACGCGCCUGCGUUGCGAGAGGGCGAUCUCUCUGUUCCCUGAUAUCAUCGAGGCUCUGUGGGUUCGAUAUUUCAUUUCAAUCGUGAAUGCACUCCAACAUUCAAAAUAACUGCAGAAAAACUGGUCAAAGUGUCUACGUUGGACGUUUCUGUUCCCUAUUGUGCCAAACCUCGCAACAUCAUGGCUCGGUGAAAGUCCGCUUUAUGUCUGUUUUUAUGGACGGAGUAGCUCAAGUCGACCCAGCGCCAUGUGGUGUUGCGCAGAAGAAGCAGCACUGCUGUCGAUAAACAGGAAAUCCCAAUUGUUUUUCGAUAUUCGAACUUUACCUGUUCCUGAUAAAGUAGUUCUGGAUCAAUGAAUCUUCAUUUUCUGCUACGGGCAGCCUACCUUGAGCGCGGCCACGAUUGGUUCCCGAUGAUGCUGCCUGCAGUCGCUACACGAAGCUGUAGCUGUUGCUACGUCGAGGUUCGUGCACAGGUCGAUGAUCAAUCAAUUCGACGACAAUGAUCUCAAGA